GAUGAACGCUGGCGGCGUGCCUAAUACAUGCAAGUCGAGCGAACGGACGAGAAGCUUGCUUUUCUGAUGUUAGCGGCGGACGGGUGAGUAACACGUGGAUAACCUACCUAUAAGACUGGGAUAACUUCGGGAAACCGGAGCUAAUACCGGAUAAUAUUUUGAACCGCAUGGUUCAAAAGUGAAAGACGGUCUUGCUGUCACUUAUAGAUGGAUCCGCGCUGCAUUAGCUAGUUGGUAAGGUAACGGCUUACCAAGGCAACGAUGCAUAGCCGACCUGAGAGGGUGAUCGGCCACACUGGAACUGAGACACGGUCCAGACUCCUACGGGAGGCAGCAGUAGGGAAUCUUCCGCAAUGGGCGAAAGCCUGACGGAGCAACGCCGCGUGAGUGAUGAAGGUCUUCGGAUCGUAAAACUCUGUUAUUAGGGAAGAACAUAUGUGUAAGUAACUGUGCACAUCUUGACGGUACCUAAUCAGAAAGCCGCGGCUAACUACGU
rnacentral:rRNA from 1 species